AUUGAACGCUGGCGGCAUGCUUUACACAUGCAAGUCGAACGGUAACAGGCCGCAAGGUGCUGACGAGUGGCGAACGGGUGAGUAAUGCAUCGGAACGUGCCCAGUCGUGGGGGAUAACUACUCGAAAGAGUAGCUAAUACCGCAUACGAUCUAUGGAUGAAAGCGGGGGACCGUAAGGCCUCGCGCGAUUGGAGCGGCCGAUGUCAGAUUAGGUAGUUGGUGGGGUAAAGGCUCACCAAGCCAACGAUCUGUAGCUGGUCUGAGAGGACGACCAGCCACACGGGGAAUGAGAAACGGCCCAGAAUCCGAAGGGAGGCAGCAGUGGGGAAUUUUGGACAAUGGGCGCAAGCCUGAUCCAGCAAUGCCGCGGGCAGGAAGAAGGCCUUCGGGUUGUAAACUGCUUUUGUACGGAACGAAACGGCUCUGGUUAAUAACCGGGGGUAAUGACGGUACCGUAAGAAUAAGCACCGGCUAACUACGUG
rnacentral:rRNA from 1 species